GCAGACCCAAAGGGGAGGAUCAGACCUAAUAUGCCCCAAAACCCUAAUUCUGUGUUUUUUUCGUAAAACAGAACCCUUGUGCCUCCUUGAGCAGCCGCACUCUCCGUUAGGGUUUGCCUUCUCGCCGCUUCCAAGUCCGCUCAAGCUGUUUCUACUCCACCUCCUAAGAGUGCUCCUUGUUCUGUUGAGUCUGUGUCUACCAUCGAGGUCCCGUAUUAACCCUUUCCAGUGAGAGAUCUUGGUGGCACCUCAUCGGUUGGACGUAAUUCCAUGGACCUCUUAAGGGGAGUCCCUGGUGGUGCCUCGACAAAAGGACGUAAUUCCACGGGGGGUCGUGGUGGUGCCUCAGGGCCAAGGCGUAAUUCCACGAAGGCCACAUGGUGGUGCCUCCUUUAAGGGUAUAAUUCCGUGAAGGCCUCACGGUGACGCCUCAAUGCUAGGACGUAAUUCCACUGCCACAUGGUGGUGCCUCAGAUGUGAGAACUCCUGGUAGUGAUGAUGGUAAUAGGGAUGCUGCAGCUUGACGUACUGGACAGGUGUUGGGCCCACUGUGGGGCCCAUUACCGGCGGAUUCUAUUAUUUAUGUUUUCUUGUACGAACAAGACCUAGUAUUCUUAAUUGUGUUAUGUUCAGUAUAUUUCUGGUUGAGCCAUGUGAGGCUCCUUUUUCUUGUAAUCCGGCUUUUUGACGUGUUGUAUACAUUCCUACCCUAAACCCCGUACUCUCUGAUUAUUCA